rnacentral:rRNA from 1 species
GGCAGGUCAGCAUACUGCCGUGAAUACGUUCCCGGGCCUUGUACACACCGCCCGUCACACCAUGAGAGUUGGGGAUACCCGAAGCCUGUGAGCCAACAGUUUACUGAGGCAGCAGUCGAAGGUAGAAUCAAUGAUUGGGGUGAAGUCGUAACAAGGUAAC